rnacentral:rRNA from 1 species
UGAGGAAUAUUGGACAAUGGGCGCAAGCCUGAUCCAGCAACGCCGCGUGGAGGAAGAAGGCCUUCGGGUUGUAAACUCCUUUUCUGGGGGAAGAGGAAGGACGGUACCCCAGGAAUAAGACACGGCUAACUACGUG